rnacentral:rRNA from 1 species
CCUACGGGGUGCUGCAGUGGGGAAUAUUGGACAAUGGGCGAAAGCCUGAUCCAGCCAUGCCGCGUGUGUGAAGAAGGCCUUCGGGUUGUAAAGCACUUUCAGUGGGGAAGAAAGCCUUGGGGCUAAUACCCUCGAGGAAGGACAUCACCCACAGAAGAAGCACCGGCUAACUCCGUGCCAGCAGCCGCGGUAAUACGGAGGGUGCGAGCGUUAAUCGGAAUUACUGGGCGUAAAGCGCGCGUAGGCGGUCUGAUAAGCCGGUUGUGAAAGCCCCGGGCUCAACCUGGGAACGGCAUCCGGAACUGUCAGGCUAGAGUGCAGGAGAGGAAGGUAGAAUUCCCGGUGUAGCGGUGAAAUGCGUAGAGAUCGGGAGGAAUACCAGUGGCGAAGGCGGCCUUCUGGACUGACACUGACGCUGAGGUGCGAAAGCGUGGAUAGCAAACAGGAUUAGAUACCCCUGUAGUC